ACCUAGGACAUAAACAUGCUCAGCCGGCCUGGGCCCUGAGAGGGAGGAGCUGUUCGGCAGGCCUGGGACCGCCCCCCUCAGCAUGAGAGAUGCAGAGGUCUGUGCUGGGAGGCUGGAAGCUCAGCUUGGUUGGGGGAAAGGUGUUGCUCAGGGAGAGGAGAGAAGGGCCUGGGGGCUUUGGGAUGUGAAGCCAUCGGGUGGUAGAAGGACAGUCAGGACCUAUUCCAAGCUGGACCCCACACAUCCUGCAGGAAAAAGGGGGGCCUCCCCGCCUGUGUGAUCAAAGGGAGAAGGGCCCCUGGGGAAGACACCUGGAACCUAGGUCAUCGAGCUCCCCCCUUCCCCCUCCCGCGAGAGACACUUCCUGUUGAGUAAUGGAUGAAGCACCUUCUCCUGCCCGCGGAUGGGGGAGAGUCAGGACUUCCUCCUGGGGUGAGGCAGGGACCGCUGGUCACGCCCGCCACAGCUGGCAGGCAGACCUGGCUUGUUAUCUUUGGCCUCUUUCCAGCCCAGUUCCUGCCAGGACCAAGGUCAAUAAAUGUUUGCUGAAUUCAGGGA